UUUCGAAAUGUCAAAAUAUCUUUUUUUAACUAUUGCUACUAUUCCUUUUUUCAGGAAAGUUCACUGCAAUCCGGAUCCUUUCAGUCAAUUGUGCAUAAGAUGUAGUGUUUCUGUUAAGACCGCACUGGUGCUAUAUUAGGCUUGUUUUUUUUUUAAAUCAAGCACUCACCAAAGUUAACAAUUUUAAUGCACAUAUACAUUUGGUAAAUGUUAAAGUUGCUUUUCACUAGAUAUCUCGUUUUACAAAUAAUGUAUAUAAACGCAAAGACAUUGAUGCUGUCUCUGAAAAGAAACUCUUCGUUUAAUACAAUUGUCAUAAAAACAAACAUAAAGAUUUAAAAAACUAAAACAAAAAACUGGUCGAUUAUAGUAAAAUGGCAUCAAGUAACACAACAAAUAACUAUUACAGGACGAGUAUAAGUAACAAUAUUAAAUUGGAGGAAUUUUACCUCAGUCAUUCUUCAUUAAUGGGGUAUCUCAGUAUAUUAUGUUGCAAGUAUAUGUUGUCUUAUAUAAAAGAUAGAUGACACUAGUUAACCAUGACAGUGAUGUUCUUUUCAACAACAAGUAAUACUGUAUCAUUGUCGGUUAUCUGUAUAAUAUAAUCGUGAAUUUACGAAAACGUCUUAAAUGUAAUGUUGAGAUGUGUAUUUUGUUUUAAAUUCUUUAACGUUCUUAAAAUUUCAUCUGUUUUUAAAUUGCAAGACGAUGCAUUGAAUGGUACGGUUUUUAUUAUAAAGACGAAGUUUAAAAUUUCAUUCCUUCGACAAGAUAUUCAUUGUGGACUAUUAUUCUAAUUAGACAUACAUAAAUGUUUCCGUCAACAUAUUGCAUUCUCUUUGCAGAAACACUUUGAUCAUUCGGAGUAAAUCACAAAUGUUCAUGAUAAUACGUAUAUAACAAAUGUUAUCGCAAUUGGCUCAUAUUUCGAUUGUGUGAAUACUUAAUGUGUACGAAUUACAUCAAAGCUUUAUUAAACAAUGGUCUCGAUCUAGAAAUCAAAGUAAAUAAUAGAUAAAUUAAAUUUACCUUCUGUCAUCAAUUUUUCUAGGAAAAUAAUUAUUCCACUGUUCCUAACAUGCUAAACGAGUAUGAUGUUUGUGUUUUAACGAAAUCUUAUUUUAUCAUAAUCCAUUGUUGUGAAUCGAGAACAAGAAGCUUUCUUUAGUAAAAUAUUAUAAUAUUAUUCCUAAAGCAGAAAUGUCUCAUUGCGUAAGUUGACAAAUUAGCUAAUCUUGCAAAGACAGUGUAUUUUUUGUUUAGAUCGACUGCUCAUGAUGAUUGCUUUAGUUUCUGAUGAAGAUGAAAUUGCACAAUUAACAGUUCCAGUAUACAUGUUAUGCUUUUUUUUUUCUUUCAGAAAGUUCAUCCAAAGAAUUAAAACCUAUAUUACUAGGUACAUGCAUUCCCAUCGUUCUGCUGGUAAUAGUUAUUUUCGUUUUGAUGAUCUUGAAACAAACGAAAACAUCACAUGAAGAUGACCACGACUGGGAGAUUACAAUUUGUCAUCAACUGAGAUUGUCCUGUUGUAUAACAAAAAAAAGAGGAAGCAAUUGGAAUAGAAGCAUGAGGUCUAGCACAACCAGCAACUCCCCCGAUGAAAAAAUUGAUCAAACGGAAGAAUGCCUCAAUAGAGAAAUAUGCUUAAAUAGUGAGAAAGAUGAAGCAAGCAAAAGUAAUACGAAAAAAGAAUUCACUGAAAUUUUUCUAAUGAGGACUUCCGAGUAUCAACAGGAAUCAGGAGAUAACUCUGAAUGGGGUUAAAGGAUACAGUUUGAUGGAAAAUGAAAUUUUAUGUUAAUUGUCCAUAGUUGCCAAAUGCUUUUUACAAAAACUUCUAAACGUUAAAAAAAAAAUAAAAA